rnacentral:lncRNA from 1 species
UGUCGGUAACCCCACAUUUGAGAGUGCGAAAAAAUUGGAACUCGACUGCGCCUGUGAAACUCCGAUUGAAGGAGCGACUGGCAUAGCUGCAGACUGUUCGGGUUCGACAGCGGCCUGCACCUCAGCCCGAACCUUGAUUGGUGGAGCUACCGACGUUGCUGUAGCAGCUCCAUCUUCUCUUACCGUCUCCUCUUCAGCAGACGGCACAUUCGGGAGCACUGUCUGAGCCGACAGC